rnacentral:tRNA from 142 species
GGGCCUAUAGCUCAGUCGGUUAGAGCGCAUCGCUGAUAACGAUGAGGUCGCAAGUUCGAUUCUUGCUAGGCCCACCA